AUUGUUUUGGCAGAAAAAUGUAAUAAAUUUAGGAUUUAUAAAUGUAAAUUAUUUUACAAACAAUA
rnacentral:tRNA from 1 species